UAAUACGAAGGGGGCUAGCGUUGCUCGGAAUCACUGGGCGUAAAGCGCACGUAGGCGGAUCUUUAAGUCAGGGGUGAAAUCCUGGAGCUCAACUCCAGAACUGCCUUUGAUACUGGGGAUCUCGAGUCCGGAAGAGGUGAGUGGAACUCCGAGUGUAGAGGUGAAAUUCGUAGAUAUUCGGAAGAACACCAGUGGCGAAGG
rnacentral:rRNA from 1 species